AUCUCAUAAACCGUGGCUCAGUUCAGAUCGUAGGCUGCAACUCGCCUACGUGAAGGAGGAAUCGCUAGUAAUCGCAGGUCAGCAUACUGCGGUGAAUACGUUCCCGGGCCUUGUACACACCGCCCGUCACACCAUGGAAGUUGGCCACGCCCGAAGUCGUUACUCCAACCCUCUGGGAGGAGGACGCCGAAGGUGGGGCUGAUGACUGGGGUGAAGUCGUAACAAGGUAGCCGUACCGGAAGGUGCGGCUGGAUCACCUCCUAACAGGGAGAACCAACCUCAAAUGAUGAUCACCACUUUUUAGUGAUCCAUUUGACUGUUCAUUCCUAUGGUCGAUCGGUACCUCAGUGAGUGAUAACCACUCAUCUCGGUUCUUAAGCUUGUCUAGGUCACCACCCCUUAGCUGAUAAGCUUUGUGGGAUGGGCCCGAGAGGGUUCCUGGGCCAUUAGCUCAGGUGGUUAGAGCGCACCCCUGAUAAGGGUGAGGUCCCUGGUUCAAGUCCAGGAUGGCCCAUCGGGAUUGGGGGUUUAGCUCAGCUGGUAGAGCGCCUGCUUUGCAAGCAGGAUGUCAGCGGUUCGAGUCCGCUAACCUCCAUUAUUCUUGAUAAUGGAACUGUGGCACAGGGUGACAUAGACGGAUGUUGGUGAUUCCAGCCUCGUUUGAUUCUUGAUUCAAGCUCAAACGAUGCUGGGCUCAGCAAUGGGUUCAGCAAGAACCUUGAAAACUGCAUAGGUAAGUCUGGAAAUAAA
rnacentral:misc_RNA from 1 species